CGCCUGACUCUCCAGCCUGUCCCUCAGCCCCUCUCCCUCUCUCUCUUGUUCCUCCCACCAGGGAAAACUGCUCCCCCUUUUAUCCAAGCCUCUCAGCCAAUCCCAGCUCAGGGCCCUUCCCAGGGUUUUGCUAACGGCUCUAUUUCAAAACUUUGCUGGGGUUACAUCACUCCCACUUCCAACAGGGCUGCUUCCAAAACAGCUUCACUUGCUCUCAGAGCCUACAGUGUCCCCACUGGGACAAACGCUGUCUCUCUGCCAGGCAGCCCUUCCCAUUCUGUUCAGAACAGCAAGAUUUUUUACCUCCCUGCUUGCCAUCUGACACCUCCAGGGAAAGAAUUCUACCUGAUCUACACAUCAAAGAGAUACUCAGCACAGCUCACAAAGACACUCUCAUGGACCCAGAGGGACAGUCUUCCAUUUUCAGCUCCCUCUGUGCAAAAAUGAAAUUUAUUUCCUACCUAUGCAGACUUUUGACCAUCUUGAACCAUCUCCCCAGAGCCUGACAAAGGGACUUUGAUCCCGAAAGCUUGCAGAAAAGGGCAUUUUUCUUGCAAUUUCCCAGUUUGUCUAAUAGAAGAUAGCAUUUUGGAACCAAGAGUUCUAGUUUUUUGUAUAUAUUUAAAGGAAUGGACACAGAGCAGUGAAAUAACAUUUAAAGGAAUAUUAAUUAAUAAUUAUCUAAUGUUUGCAAAUAGUUAAAGAAGUAGUGGUGAUUUACAUUUAUUUUUUAUAAAGCUUUUUAAGAAGGAAAAAAGAUUAUUACUAAUAAAACAAGUGCUGUUUGAAA